rnacentral:snRNA from 1 species
UCUUCCCCAGGUCUUGGGAUGCUCUCUUCCCGUCCUGAGGCAGGACCCUGCCAAGGUCGCGAUGAUGCAGAAGGAUGCCUCGCUGUCAGCCCUAUCUUGGAUGCGGGAGACAUUCCGGUCCGCUGAGAACAGCUCGCCAGGGUUCCAGGACGUGGUGAGGGUUGGCAUCAAAGGCUCUGCCGGUGG